AGCAGCCGCGGUAAUUCCAGCUCCAAUAGCGUAUAUUAAAGUUGUUGCAGUUAAAAAGCUCGUAGUUGAAUUUCGGGAUCAAUAUUUCGGUCAUGCCGUUGGUAUGCACUGUUAUCAUUGAUUUCUCACCUUCUAAAGAACCGUAAUGCCAUUAAUUUGGUGUUACGGGGAAUUAGGACUGUUACCUUGAAAAAUUAGAGUGUUUAAAGCAGGCUCACGCUUGAAUACAUUAGCAUGGAAUAAUGAAAUAGGACAUCCGAUUCUAUUUUGUUGGUUUCUAGGAUCGAUGUAAUGAUUAAUAGGGAUAGUUGGGGGCAUUAGUAUUCAAUUGUCAGAGGUGAAAUUCUUGGAUUUAUUGAAGACUAACUACUGCGAAAGCAUUUGCCAAGGAUGUUUUCAUUAAUCAAGAACGAAAGUUAGGGGAUCGAAGACGAUCAGAUACCGUCGUAGUCUUAACCAUAAACUAUGCCGACUAGGGAUCGGAUGAUGUUAAUUUUUUAAUGUACUCA
rnacentral:rRNA from 1 species